UACGUAGGGUGCAAGCGUUAAUCGGAAUUACUGGGCGUAAAGCGUGCGCAGGCGGUUUUGUAAGUCUGUCGUGAAAUCCCCGGGCUCAACCUGGGAACUGCCUUUGUGACUGCAAGGCUUGAGUGCGGCAGAGGGGGAUGGAAUUCCGCGUGUAGCAGUGAAAUGCGUAGAUAUGCGGAGGAACACCGAUGGCGAAGGCAAUCCCCUGGGCCUGCACUGACGCUCAUGCACGAAAGCGUGGGGAGCAAACAGG
rnacentral:rRNA from 1 species